GAGCUGCUGAGCGCGAUAGUAGCAGCUCCGGCGGCAGCAACAUUGACUACGAGGAAUGGCGGCGGCUGCCGCAGGACCUGCAGCAUCCCAGAGGUUUUUCCAGAGCUUCUCAGAUGCUCUAAUCGACCAGGACCCCCAGGCGGCGUUAGAGGAGCUGACUAAGGCUUUGGAACAGAAACCAGAUGAUACACAAUAUUAUUGUCAAAGAGCUUAUUGUCACAUUCUUCUUGGGAAUUACUGUGUGCAGUGGCACAAUCUUGGCUCACUGCAACCUCUGCCUCCCAGGUUCAAGUAAUUCUCCUGCCGAUAUGUGAAUACCAUUAAAAAAAACUAUGCUGCUUCUCUAGAAACUUUUAUAGAAGGACAAAAAUUAGAUAGUGCAGAUUUUAAUUUCAGUGACUGAAUUAAAAGGUGUCAAGAAGCUCAGAAUG
rnacentral:lncRNA from 10 species